GACGAACACUGGCGGCGUGCCUAAUACAUGCAAGUCGAGCGAAUCAUUAGGAGCUUGCUCCCGAUGGUUAGCGGCGGACGGGUGAGUAACACGUGGGCAACCUGCCUGUAAGACUGGGAUAACACCGGGAAACCGGUGCUAAUACCGGAUAAUUCUUUCCCUCACAUGAGGGAAAGCUGAAAGACGGCGCAAGCUGUCACUUACAGAUGGGCCCGCGGCGCAUUAGCUAGUUGGUGAGGCAACGGCUCACCAAGGCGACGAUGCGUAGCCGACCGGAGUGGGUGCUCGGCCACACGGGGACUGAGACACGGCCCAGACUCCUACGGGAGGCAGCAGUAGGGAAUCUUCCGCAAUGGACGAAAGUCUGACGGAGCAACGCCGCGUGAGUGAUGAAGGCCUUCGGGUCGUAAAACUCUGUUGUUAGGGAAGAACAAGUACCGGAGUAACUGCCGGUACCUUGACGGUACCUAACCAGAAAGCCACGGCUAACUACGUGCCAGCCGCCGCAGUAACAC
rnacentral:rRNA from 1 species